CAAUAGCGUAUAUUAAAGUUGUUGCAGUUAAAAAGCUCGUAGUUGGAUUUCUGAAUUGAAUAUCCGGUCCGCUCGUCUCUGAUGAGUGCGUACUUAUGGAUGUUGGAUUCAUUUUUUGUGAGGACAUUUAUCUGUCAUUAAGUUGAUGGAUUUAUAGACUUGCAUCGUUUACUGUGAAAAAAUUAGAGUGUUUAAAGCAGGCGUUCGCCCAUUUGAAUACAUUAGCAUGGAAUAAUAAGAUAUGACUUUGGUGGUCUAUUUUGUUGGUUUGCACACCAGAGUAAUGAUUAAUAGGGACAGUUGGGGGUAUUCAUAUUUCAACGUCAGAGGUGAAAUUCUUAGAUCGUUGAAAGAUGACCUUAGGCGAAAGCAUUUACCAUGGAUGUUUUCAUUAA
rnacentral:rRNA from 1 species